rnacentral:rRNA from 1 species
GACGAACGCUGGCGGCGUGCCUAAUACAUGCAAGUAGAACGCUUAAGAGAGGAGCUUGCUCUUCUUGGAUGAGUUGCGGACGGGUGAGUAACGCGUAGGUAACCUGCCUUGUAGCGGGGGAUAACUAUUGGAAACGAUAGCUAAUACCGCAUAACAAUGGAUGACACAUGUCAUUUAUUUGAAAGGGGCAAUUGCUCCACUACAAGAUGGACCUGCGUUGUAUUAGCUAGUGGGUGAGGUAAUGGCUCACCUAGGCGACGAUACAUAGCCUAGCUGAGAGGGGGAUCGGCCACACUGGGACCUGGAAACGGCCCAGACUCCUUCGGGAGGCAGCAGUAGGGAAUCUUCGGCAAUGGGGGCAACCCUGACCGAGCAAAGCCGGGGGGGUGAAGAAGGGUUUCGGAUCGUAAAGCUCUGUUGUAAGUCAAGAAAGGGUGUGAGAGUGGAAAGUUCACACUGUGACGGUAGCUUAACAGAAAGGGACGGCUAACUACGUG